AAGUGUUACAGCUCUUUUAGAAUAUUAGACCUCUAGCAGGUCUUCCAGUCUUGACCGGAAACACUCCC
ensembl:snRNA U7 U7 small nuclear RNA